rnacentral:miRNA from 1 species
UCUGACAUGGCUCUGCUCCGCAGU